rnacentral:lncRNA from 1 species
AACAUGUCAGCAGGUAUUUAAUUUUUUUUACACAAUUUCUAAUUCAAACCGUCUAUUAAUAUUGAAUAUAUAUAUAGAUGUUGUCCAACUGUCAACAUACUGCGUUCUGCAUUAAAUGUGAUUUAAUUCCACUACAUAUAUUACAUUACUUCAUUGUAAUAAUCAAAUUAUUUUUCACAUUUAAAACUCUAACUAUUCCUGUAAAGUUUGAAAAAUAGGCCAUCAAAAUGUUUAAACAGUUGGUUAACCACUUUUUUCUUGCAUGCAACGUUUGGCGAUAUUUCAAUUAUAAGGUUGUGCACUUUGUUCAUGCGUUGAUCUGUUUUCAUAAUUAAAAUAUUUUAAAUUACAACGUUAAAACUGUUUGGGGAUUGACUUUUGAAAAAUUAUACCAAUAAAAAAAUUAUUCAUGAUAUUGUGGUUUUUAUAUUUGUAUAUAUAACUUUUGUAUCAAAUAACUUUGGUAAAACUGAACAA